rnacentral:rRNA from 1 species
GAUGAACGCUGGCGGCGUGCCUAAUACAUGCAAGUCGAGCGAACAGACGAGGAGCUUGCUCCUCUGACGUUAGCGGCGGACGGGUGAGUAACACGUGGAUAACCUACCUAUAAGACUGGGAUAACUUCGGGAAACCGGAGCUAAUACCGGAUAAUAUAUUGAACCGCAUGGUUCAAUAGUGAAAGACGGUUUUGCUGUCACUUAUAGAUGGAUCCGCGCCGCAUUAGCUAGUUGGUAAGGUAACGGCUUACCAAGGCAACGAUGCGUAGCCGACCUGAGAGGGUGAUCGGCCACACUGGAACUGAGACACGGUCCAGACUCCUACGGGAGGCAGCAGUAGGGAAUCUUCCGCAAAGGGCGAAAGUCUGACGGAGCAACGCCGCGUGAGUGAUGAAGGUCUUCGGAUCGUAAAACUCUGUUAUUAGGGAAGAACAAAUGUGUAAGUAACUAUGCACGUCUUGACGGUACCUAAUCAGAAAGCCACGGCUAACUACGUG